GUAGUAUUUGUAUCGCUUCAAUAUUGAACGUGUUUAAGAAAUAUAUUGUAAUGGCGCGAUUAUUUGAAAAUAUUUAUUUUACAAUGGUUUUAAUUAUAAAGUAAUUGAAACUUAGGAGAUACAUAAUUGUAUAUGCUCACGAAAUUGUAAAUUUGUGUAUUAAUGAACAAUAUUUUCAACAUAAUUCAUAUUUACGUGAUAAUUAUUAUUUAUUUAUGGUGGUUCAUCCAAUGGUUCUGCUCUGCCAAGUCCAGCACAGCCAGCAGCACCAAAAAUUAUUUCUUGUUCAUUUCAUUCUCAAACAUCAAUAAAGGUUAGGUUCAUACAUAGAACAGGUGGGAACA
rnacentral:lncRNA from 1 species